AGUAAGAUUUGUGCUCCCGAAGGGUAAACUCUGCUUUCCUCUCCAGAGCCUGUGGGCAGUCCCUGGGCAGCAGCUGUGCUGGGCAAGGCAGCAUUUAUGAAGUCCAGUAAGGAGUAAACACCUUUAUCACAGCAGACAGCUCAGUUCUGUUGUGGCUCCCUACAUGCCAGUUAGUUAGAGAUCCUGGAGAGAUGGACACACACAGGUCUGAAGAAUCAGCUUCCAUACAAAUUCCUUCCCUCCCAUCUCUUGCAGUCACUGGAGUGAAGGGUUACAUUACGGGGCUUGUUCUCCUUUGCCACCAAAGCCAUUCAACCUUGGGGAGCACGGGGAAACCUGGUUUGGGUGUACUUCCACGGGCUUUGCCGAAUUUCUCAAGGCAGACCCUGAAUCCAAGAUUUUUUCACUCUAGUGAAAGGUAGAGACAGGGUAUCUAAAACCAUUGUUCCCAGCUGUAAUUACAUCUCUGUUUUCUUCCCACGCAGGCCACAUCAUGCUCCCCUCCUUUGGGACAGGUGAUGGAUGCCCUGGUGCUCCCAGACCUGGCACUGGUGUAACUGCUGCUGUAGAGGCUCCAGCCAGCCCAGCUUUGAGGAGGGAACGGCUUCUCACCUCCACCCACCAUGCUCUGCCCUGUGUGCUGCCCAGGAGCUGCCCUGGGUGGCUCCUGGCAGCAUCUCCUGCCUGCCUGUAACUCCCCCCCCCGACCCCAGAGCUUACUGAGCACUGCAUGGACUUGGGUGACUGCAGCCCUGCAGCACCCUUACAAAACAGCAACGCUUCACUGUGCGAAUGGUUCAUUUUACAGUAUUCAAUUCAGAGUCUGGGAAUGGGAGCUCUUUUCUUCAUACAGCUCCCACUCAGGUAAGCACAGCACCCACAGGCUUAGAUGCAGACUGUGGGGAGAGGGAGGAUGGGAAAUGGAAAGGCCCUUUUUAAAGAAUUUCUUCAUUAAGUGUUCUGCUGGUCAAAAUUCCCUUGGAAACCGAGAUUUGCCCCAUCAACAGCCAAGUAAGAAAAACUCCCAAGAUUUAUCUCUAAAUUGCAGGUGGAUGAAAUUAAACAGAAAACGAUUUUAAUCUCCAUGAAAAUUCCUACAGUAACUCAGAAAAGGCUCUACGCAUAACCCAAACCUCUGGAUUUCUGCUCCUUCCCUUGCUCCCUUCUGCAGCACACCCCUGAGCGCCUUGCAAAGCAGCAGAGCCAGGGGAGCCCCUGCCAGGCUCGCCCCUCUGCAACACUGGCGUGCCCGCACCCAGGCUCUGCAGCUCUGAGCAUCUGUAGCACGCAGGAAGAACACUUGCUCCUACCUCUUCAGGUGUUUUCCUUUAAAGUCUGUGUAUGCUUUAAGUUCACAAUAUCCAUUAAAAUUAAUGAGCUUUGCGCUGCAGCUCACAUGCAGGUGCGUUUUGUAGAGCUUUGCCUGAAUGUGGGCCGCAAGCGCCGACUCAGAGAUUCUUUGCCUUUUGGGUAAUUCACAGCGCUUCUUAGCAUGGUUCUUCCAGAGCCUGGUGUCACCCCACAACCGACCGACCUCCGUGGGAAGAGCAGUGCUUAACAAGGGUGCAGCGUGCCCACGUCCUUUGUGGCACUCAAAGAGCAGCACUAAGCAGGUCUGCAUGGGGUGAGUUACUGAAGAGGGACCACACGCCAUACACGUGCCAGCAGCUGCACCAGCACAAACAACAUCAAAGACUUUGACAAAGUUGCUCCGAAACAACUCUGGGAUCACUGAAAUGCAAAAUUUGGCCUCCGACUUCACAUCGCCAGCUACUCCCUCACGUGAGUAAGAUUCCCAGAAUCAGGUCCUUUGUUUCCAUGAAUUAGAGCCAACCACAUAACUUGGGAACAGUCAAGCAAAGCAAGCAAGUGGGCUGAGCACAGUCAAUCCUAACAAAUUACAAUAAGAAAUGUAUCACGCUGCCUGCUGUCAGGUGUAAUUUAUGUCAUACCAGAGGGGUGACUGGAGAGCAGGUAUAGGCAGGAACUGGUCAUACCUAUACUUGCUCCUGCUGGGCCUGAUCUGGCAAGCUGCUAAGAGCUCUUCCCUCCCACUGAAGUCAACGUGAACUGAGCUUAUUCAGGACCUAACAGGAUUGGGCCUCCUUUAAAUACUACUGAAGGAUAAACAUGAUUUAAUGAUUAUUUUUCUGUUUCCCUUUAGCGUGUGACAUCUGUGUAUACAUACCCUGAUUUUAUUUAUACAUGUGCUCAUAAUCUGUACGUGUCCUUAAACAUACAUGCAUUUUAUAUAUUACAAGCUAAAAGACUGUUUGGGAUUUCAGAGCACAGAGAAAGAAAUAGAGAUUGUAACACAAAUAAGCAGGAAGAUUAUUCCCACAGCUUUCACUUUUAGUAAGUGCAAAUUGUAUUUUAUGUGACAUGAGCUAAGAUUUAGCAAAGCAUUUCAGCAUAUGCUUACAUCUUUUGCUGAAACAGAAGCUACAGAUUUGUUUAAUUUCUUAGAUCUGAAGUUUACAAGCUCGUGCUCAAACCAGGAGUUUAAUAUGCUGUCCAAAAUAAUCCAGGAAGCUCUGCAUGUAGAUGAGUAUGGCCAUGCCUCUAUAUGUGGCCAUGCAUGUCGUCUGCGAGCAUACGCUAAUAGCGCUCUGGCAUUACUUCCAGAUGUCUCACCCAGAACAGCUAUCUCCUUCCUCCUGCAUCUGCAAGAGACCCGGUCGCCUCUGUCAUCCUAACCACUGCAAAGACAGCCUGCACUUCAUGGAAGCAGCACACCAGGGCAGUGAGGUGCCAUCAGGAGCUCCUGUCAUCCCCACUGAAACAGCUGCAACUUCUGCUCUGCUCUAACUGGGAAUGAGAGCAGCCAGGCUCACAGGGGGGUAACUGACCAAGUCUACCAUGCACCGCUGCAGAAAGCCAAAUGAAGAAGGAGAAAAAAAAAAACAAAACAAGUACAUGCCUAUUUCCAUGCGAUGAACAGAAAGAGGCAGAGAGCCGGAAAACACAGAG